GUUCCUACGGGACGCAGCAGUGGGGAAUAUUGCACAAUGGGGGAAACCCUGAUGCAGCGACGCCGCGUGAGUGAAGAAGUAUUUCGGUACGUAAAGCUGUAUCAGCAGGGAAGAAAAAAAGUCCUUUGGACUUUGGACGGUACCUGACCAAGAAGCCCCGGCUAACUACGUGCCAGCAGCCGCGGUAAUACGUAGGUGGCAAGCGUUGUCCGGAUUUACUGGGUGUAAAGGGCGUGUAGCCGGGCUGACAAGUCAGAUGUGAAAUCAGGGGGCUCAACCCCCGAACUGCAUUUGAAACUGUUGGU
rnacentral:rRNA from 1 species